GAAGUACUCCCUCUGAUCCUAAAUUGUUGUCGAAAUAUUACAUGUAUCUAGACGCUUUUUAAGAAUAGAUACAUCCAUAUUUGGGCAAAUUUGAGUCAAAAAUUUAGGAUCAGAGGGAGUAAAAU
rnacentral:pre_miRNA from 1 species